rnacentral:rRNA from 1 species
UACAGAGGUCUCAACCGUUGUUCGGAUUCAUUGGGCGUAAAGGGUGCGUAGGCGGUCGUGCAAGUCGGAUGUGAAAUCUCAGGGCUCAACCCUGAAACUGCAUUCGAUACUGCGUUGCUAGAGUGCUGGAGAGGAGACUGGAAUUUACGGUGUAGCAGUGAAAUGCGUAGAUAUCGUAAGGAAGACCAGUGGCGAAGGCGAGUCACUGGACAGCAACUGACGCUGAGGCACGAAGGCCAGGGGAGCAAACGGG